rnacentral:rRNA from 1 species
ACCGAUAGCGCACAAGUACGCAGUGAUCGAAAGAUGAAAAGCACUUUGAAAAGAGAGUUAAAAAGCACGUGAAAUUGUUGAAAGGGAAGCGCUUGCGACCAGACUCGCCUCCAGGGUUCAGCCGGCAUUCGUGCCGGCUGUACUUCCCUGGGGGCGGGCCAGCAUCGGUUUGGGCGGCCGGUCAAAGGCUCCCGGAAUGUAGUGCCCUCCGGGGCACCUUAUAGCCGGGAGUGCAAUGCGGCCAGCCUGGACCGAGGAACGCGCUUCGGCACGGACGCUGGCAUAAUGGUCGUAAACGACCCGUCUUGAAAAACGGACCAAAAAUCGCCGAGGAAACUCGGGUUCACGGUUCCCCGGACCCCGGUAGCCCGGCCCCAGUUCGACGGUAGGAGUCGAGGAGAUGGCCCGCUCAUGCGAGCGUCCGGCCCGGUGGGCAAGCUCCGCGGGUUUGUGCGUGGUGCCGCGGCCAACGCCGCGUCCCCGCCGCCUGCGGGCUGUUGGUCUCCGGAGUCCUCGGACAGCUUUGGCCGUUCUCCCGUCUGCGGCGCUAAUGCUUCGGAUGCCUUCCCGACCCGUCUUGAAACACGGACCAA